ACAAAUUUAGAUUGUCUUGCAAGAAGCUUCAAAUUAUGAAGAAUCGGCUGUAAAUUAAACUGUAAGGACCAUUUAAAUCCGUUUCCCAAAUUAAUUCCUUUCCACUCCAUUCAACAGACACAAUUACUGUAACCAUUUGAAUCUCGCAGCUUAAUUGAACGUUAACAACAAGCUAAGACCGGCAAGACUCACAUUGACACAAUCUGCAGCUGUUGACUCAUAUACGUUCGUCAUUCGUCAAGCGUUUUAAUCUGUCACUCGCUCUGUCUUAUGCCUGGUGUGUGCGCGCGCCCGAACAAUAAUCUUUUCCGCGGAGGCCUGACUUAUUCGCGUCAGGAAAUGAGCCUACUCGUGGCGCAGAUUAAUCCGUCAACUGUCCGCCUACGUACGAGUACACCAGUACCAGUACCCAUUUCAAUUCCACGCCCAGUGUGGUCUGGCAUGCGUUCAAUGGGGAUUUUUUUUCUUUCGCUUCUUUUAACGUUCCAACUCCGGAUGUCAUUUAAUUCGCGGUUUUAUUCCACCCCUUUUGCUUCCCUCAGUGUGGCGCACCAGGGAAAACAUAUGCGCCAGCCUGUGUGCCAUGUGCAAAUGCAAACGAACCGCAUCUUAUACCCCACGAAAACUAUGGGAGGGCUUGAGGGGGAAAAAACAACUCAUAUAUGUGCAUCAAAAGAAACAGGCAACAGAAAUAAAGAUUAAACAACGGCGAGCAGUGUGCGGACUGCUGAACCGCUUAUUCGCUGAUAGAAGUUUUGCGAUAUUUGUUUACGGUUUCCGAAAUGGAUCUCUAGGGGUGCUCAAUUUUUGUUGUGUCCCCGGCAUAGGGCGUAAUCGAUCGAUCGUCACAAUGAACAAUGUACGACAAAUGGAUCUCUAAUCUUGGACCGGAUCGAUCUUGGAGUUUGUUUCCGCUGCCCCAAAAAAGGGGAACCACAAAUCUCGUCGUUAAAAUCUGACAAACAAAUUGUACAUUAAAGGAACUUUCCCUCGGACGAGGCAUGAUUCGUCCGCCAAAGAAGGACAUUAUUCUUGAACAUCUCUCCAAAAAACAAACUACACAAAAUCCCGAUCUCCGAUCAAGCAAUGUACCUUGCGAACGUGAGUUGAUGUAAAAAUUAUGUACAAAACGACACCAGUGUUGCCAGCUGCGUCGAACAUGGUGCCGUGUUCCAUCGCGCAGACAAGCACAACAAAAUGAAGCGAGCUCAGAACAAAGUAGUUGUGUGGGGGGUAUUGAAGCAAAAGAAAAAAGAAGGAAAAAAACAGAUCACAACAUCCGUAAAGAAAUUGGAUGGAUGCAAUUGUUACUAACAGCGGCCCGCAGUAAGAUGACUAACUUUCCGAUGCAAGGCUUUAUUCACCACCAGCGCAGACACGGGGGAAGGCGGACGGGCGCAGUAGAGCAGCAGAAAAGAAACUUUUCAAUUCGUAGAAUUUAAAACACGUCCCUUAAAAGAAAUAAAGCAGAUGAGCAUGCCGAGAGACCUGAAAAAGAAACUGGCGGAUAAAAAUAAAAUAAAAUGACAAAUCUUUCUCGCA